UGGGGAAUAUUGCGCAAUGGGCGAAAGCCUGACGCAGCGACGCCGCGUGAGGGAUGAAGGUUUUCGGAUCGUAAACCUCUGUCAGAAGGGAAGAAACCGCACUGUGCUAAUCAGCAGUGCCUUGACGGUACCUUCAAAGGAAGCACCGGCUAACUCCGUGCCAGCAGCCGCGGUAAUACGGAGGGUGCAAGCGUUAAUCGGAAUUACUGGGCGUAAAGCGCACGUAGGCUGCUUUGUAAGUCAGGGGUGAAAUCCCACGGCUCAACCGUGGAACUGCCUUGGAUACUGCUUAGCUUGAAUCCGGGAGAGGGUGGCGGAAUUCCAGGUGUAGGGGUGAAAGCCGUAGAUAUCUGGAGGAACAUCAGUGGCGAAGGCGGCCACCUGGACCGGUAUUGACGCUGAGGUGCGAAAGCGUGGGGAGCAAACAGG
rnacentral:rRNA from 1 species